CCUACGGGAGGCAGCAGUGGGGAAUUUUGGACAAUGGGCGCAAGCCUGGUCCAGCAAUGCCGCGUGCAGGAUGAAGGCCUUCGGGUUGUAAACUGCUUUUGUACGGAACGAAACGGUCUGCCCUAAUACGGUGGGCUAAUGACGGUACCGUAAGAAUAAGCACCGGCUAACUACGUGCCAGCAGCCGCGGUAAUACGUAGGGUGCGAGCGUUAAUCGGAAUUACUGGGCGUAAAGCGUGCGCAGGCGGUUAUAUAAGACAGAUGUGAAAUCCCCGGGCUCAACCUGGGACCUGCAUUUGUGACUGUAUAGCUAGAGUACGGUAGAGGGGGAUGGAAUUCCGCGUGUAGCAGUGAAAUGCGUAGAUAUGCGGAGGAACACCGAUGGCGAAGGCAAUCCCCUGGACCUGUACUGACGCUCAUGCACGAAAGCGUGGGGAGCAAACAGGAUUAGAUACCCUGGUAGUCCACGCCCUAAACGAUGUCAACUGGUUGUUGGUCUUCUCUNACUCAGUAACGAAGACUACGACGUGAGUAGACCGCCGUGGGAGGUACGGCCGGCGUAGGUUAGUUAAACGUUAAAGGUAAAGUUAGUUACGGCGUUGAGACGNGCGACGGACGACGACGAGGGAGGAGG
rnacentral:rRNA from 1 species